UACGGGGGGGGGUAAGCGUUGUUCGGAUUUACUGGGCGUAAAGCGCACGCAGGUGGCUGAGUCAGUCGAUUGUGAAAGCCCUGGGCUUAACCUGGGAAUUGCAGUCGAUACUACUCAGCUAGAGUAUGGGAGAGGGUAGUGGAAUUCCCGGUGUAGCGGUGAAGUGCGUAGAUAUCAGGAGGAACACCGGUGGCGAAGGCGGGUCUCUGGGCCGACACUGACGCUGAUGCGCGAAAGCCAGGGGAGCGAACGGG
rnacentral:rRNA from 1 species